GGAGUUCGGGCUCUGAGAUUCGAGUCGACUCCCAGGACAGUCGAGUCGACUCGAGUGGACAAAAUUCAAAAUUGGAUCCACGGACUUCAGUGGAUGAGCCGACUCCAAAAUUGCCAAGUCAGCUCCAGAAGUUGACGAGUCGACUCCAGGUCAAGACGAGUCAACUCCCAGUCGUGAAGGCAACUUUAAUUCAAAUUUGGAACAGUUGCCAAGUCGACUCCGGAAAAGCUUGAGUCGACUCCCGCUACAGCCGAGUCGACUCCUGAUCGCACGAGUCGACUCCAACCCACCAACGGUCAUAUUGUCAGGCUGCGCAGAGUGUUCAGAACGGGCAGAAAAAGCACUCUAACGGCUAGUUUCCGUGGGGGUUGGCUUAAAUAGCCACAGAGGACUGUAG
rnacentral:lncRNA from 1 species